CCUACGGGUGGCAGCAGUGGGGAAUAUUGCACAAUGGGGGAAACCCUGAUGCAGCGACGCCGCGUGAGCGAUGAAGUAUUUCGGUAUGUAAAGCUCUAUCAGCAGGGAAGAAAAUGACGGUUCCUGACUAAGAAGCCCCGGCUAACUACGUGCCAGCCACCGCGGUAAUACGUAGGGGUCAAGCGUGUUCCAGAUUUCCUGUGGGUAAAGUGAGCGUAGACGGAUUGGCAAGCCAGAUGGGAAAGGCUGGGGCUCAACCCCAGGACUGCAUUUGGAACUGUCAUGCUAGAGUGUCGGAGAGGCAGGCGGAAUUCCUAGUGUAGCGGUGAAAUGCGUAGAUAUUAGGAGGAACACCAGUGGCGAAGGCGGCCUGCGGGACGAUGACUGACGCUGAGGCUCGAAAGCGUGGGGAGCAAACAGGAUUAGAUACCCUUGUAGUC
rnacentral:rRNA from 1 species